GGAGUGCAUGACUCAUCUCCUGGCCCCUCCAGGAAACCGGAGAAGGCAGAAAAGGGCAAGAAUGUUGUGUUGUCUUUGGGCUGUGGAGUUCAUGAUUAUGGACACUUUCUGAAUUAUUGGCACUAAGGGCACAUCCUGCUUAGCAUGGAGGCUGGACAGCUCUGGGAAAGCAGAGAUUCUUUUUAGGGAGUCCAGAGCAUUUUUUUCUUCUUUCUUAUCCCCUCUUUCCAAUAGAGAUGUCAGAAGGGUGACUGUUAGGGUUGAUACAUUAUGUGGUGCUCUGUUUUUUUGAGCAUUGUCUACUCAGAGUGAUUACCAAGGUGGAGCUCAUUAUGUUACCUGGCACCUGCAACUACUUGCCUCAUGUUGGACUAAAGUGGAAAGACUCCUAUUGGGAAUUCACUCAGGGAGGCACCAGGCAUUGUUAGAAAAGCAGUAUCGCAGAGCACUUAAGAGCUGAGCCUUGUGAUCGGGUGGACUUGGGUUUAUGUCCUCGCACUGUCGCUUCCUAGAUUUAUGACCUCAGUUUCCUCAUUUCUAAAGUAGAGACAGGGAUGGAGGGUGGGGAGAAUAUGAAUUAAUUUGGAUUAAAUGGAUGAGAAUCAGAAGUAUUUAUUUGGAAUUGGUGUGAAUUGGAGCACAUGGGGAACUGAAA
rnacentral:lncRNA from 1 species